ensembl:lncRNA
AGCAAAAUCUGUGCGAAAAAGAUCUGCUGGGAAGGAACCAACUGCUUGGGAUUCUCCAUUGUGAUGAAAGCACGUGGUGCAGUUUUCCAAAGAAAUUAGUCCGUUGUCUGGGUGAAGAGAAACCCAUCUGCUGUUUCCACAGGGUAUCACUCCCUUCUCUGUGAGAGGAAGAAAGAACAGGCCUGGGCCCAGGAGCGCUCCAGCUUUUUGUGGGACGUCUCCAUGGUGAAGGACAGGCUGGGGCUACCUGUGAACAGCGCACAGUGAAUGUUACUAUGAAGCUUUGGCACUAGGUGAUCCUCCAAUUAGUUUCUUUUUUUAGGGGAGAGGUUCUGUUUUCAUUUGCCGUGAACUUGCCUUUCUCUCAGCUUCUGCGGGGCACUGCUCAUUAGCUCCUUCUGGAAUAACAGCGUGGAAGACAGUGCUUCUUUCACUGUAGGAACACCUGUUCUCCUGGAGCAGUAUCCGAUUUCGAACAGGCUCUUUUAAACUGGGCUAUGGCCGUCCUUUUAGGUUGGUGGGUAAGGGAGGUUAAAAUCCUCCAGUCUCAGGAUUCCGGGCCAGGGUUUCCACCCAGUAGUUAUUUUAUUUACGUGCAGUUUUUGAUCAGAAGGAAAUGUUUUUCUGGCUUUCCAAGAUCUGAGGUAUGCAUGUACAGUCAGCUGUUGAGGGUGCUUCUCUUACUCAGAAUUGGCUGAUGUAUUGGUUUUUAUCAGACUCCCGGGUUGGGAUUUUGAGAUGCGUAGUUUUUGCAUGUCAUCUGCUGGUCACCUUUCUGGGGGGGAUUUUUAGGAUCCAGUCAUGGAAGAGCCAACACAUGAAGGGCUUUGCGAAGAGUUUUGACCAGAAAAGAAUACAGCUACAGCAAACCCAGGAUGGCCAAUGAACAUAAUACCUUCAAAUUUUAGAAAAUGAAGAACCAAUUUCAACUAGGUUUUUUAUGUAUGUGCAUAAAUACAUAUUUAUAUACAGAUAUACUUAAUAUAGAUCAUAUAUUUGUGGGUGUAUGUAUUUUAUAUACAUAAAUACAGGUUUAGCUGUAUAUACACAUAUGUGUGUAUAUGCAUGUGUGUAUGUGUGUGCGUAUAUAUAUAAAGUUGUCAGCGUCUUAAAAGUCGGGAAACUUUUUCAGUCACUUAUUACCUGUUUUCUUCCCAGUUGCAGAAGUGAUUUUGAAAGAGCAAGGUUCAGUAAGACGAGGGCAUAUAUCUAAGAGAAAGAGCAUUUACUGUUUGAAAAGAAAAAUUUCCACCGAAUUUUUUCUUGAAAAAUUUUCCACCGAAUUUUUUCUUGAUUUUCUAAAAAUGGAUCCUAAAUAUGUAUAUUUAUUCAUAUUUCCUAAAGGUUAAGUAGUCCUAUUAAGAGCAGCUUCUUGAAUUCACAGUCUCUCAGAACCUCAGAGGAAAUGGGUGACGGGAGAUGUUGGUGUUUUCAUGGGCUUUCCUUUGUGCAUAUGAUCCCCUUGGUUCUGGUGGAAAGUACACAGCUCCUGGAAUUACUGACCUAAAUUCUUUUCCUGGUCCUGGGGUCAUGGUCAAGUAAGUUUGCAACCUUGAGCAAGCCGCUGAGCUCCACGAAGUGUUGGUUUCUAAGUUUGUAAGUUGCUCCAUGUUGCUUGUUUAUUGAUGAGUUGUCAUCUCGGUUUAGGGUCCCCAUAAGGAGUAUCUUGUGACACUCUUGAAUCUUACCCCCCUCAAAAAAAGUCUCUUAUUCUAAAGGUUUGUAUCACUAUUAAGGAAUAAUUAGUGGGCCCUGUUACAUCUGAGUGCUACAGUAGCAAUGAGUUUUUCCGGCAACUAUUUUCCUAACCAUGUAGCCAACAGAAUGCACAUCUGGUGAUUUUUUUUUUUUAAAAGCAUUGUUAUCCUGGGGCACAAAUGUCUUAUGGAAAAGGGCUUUAGGUUUCGGAUUACAUUGAAAAGAACAGUGUGUGGUUACUAUAAUCAAGAUAGCUUUUGUUUUGAAUCUGGUGGAAUGUGUGUGUGUAUGUUUAAUUAUUGCUUUGAACUGCUCAUGUGAUACCCUGCCUGACCUCAAACAUUGAGGUUUCCAAAGAAGUUCUGAAGGGUAAACUAAGAUGCCACAUGGCCAACUUAAAGUCAUUUUAAAAUCCUUCUGUAAAUGGAGUGGGUUGAGGGAGAGAGGAAGAAAAUGCUAAAUCCCUUUGAACUCCUAAGGACCUUUUCUUCCCAAUUGCAUUUGCUUGGGGAAGUGGAGGAGGUUCCAGUUUUCUUGGUAAAUUUUAACAUUUAUAACCGUUUGUAACCUUGGUGCAUUUGUACAAUAAUGAAUUCGUAUUUUCCCCUGACUUUGGUGUCCCGGGUGCCCCGUGGCUGUGCCAUGAUAAUAGGGAAGGCUGGAGGUUUUCAAAGGGCGUGUGCUUGCCCAUGAUGGGGUAUGAUGUUGGAAAUAGAAAGAUUUGACUGCUCAUCAGGGCAGCCAUUGGAAUCCGAAGCCCUUGCAGGCUGUGCCCAGACUCACCGCCUUUGUGGUUCUCCUUUGCUUGUCACCAUUAACCAGCUCUCAGACCUGCCACCAUCUUUCCAGCAGAUGGACUUGACUCUUGAAAGUGCCUCAAACUGGCUCCAAGAUGUGGUAUUUCAUACAGGAGAGGAGUGACAAUAAAACUGACCUAGAAGUCAGGAGACCGAGGUUUUACCCGUGAUGCUUCCGUUAACUAUAUACCCUUGGCCUCCCCAGAGCCCUGGGGACCCAUUUUCUGCUGAGUACGUGAGAAAGUUGAGUUAGAAGAAUCCCCAGCACUCAUUUCAGUGUCUAAGUAUCAGUCUUAGGUGACACCAAUUGGACCUUCGUUUUACCCUGAUUGGCAGCUGAAAGUCAGUGAUUUGGCACAACCUCAAUUAACGAAUGCUUUUUUUUUUUUCCUUUUCCAGGGCCGCAGGUAUGGCAUAUGGAAGUUCCCUGGCUAAGAGUCAAAUCAGAGCUGCAGCUGCUGGCCACAGCCACACCAGAUCUGAGCUGCAUCUGCGACCUACACGAUAGCUCAGAGCAGCGCUGGAUCCUUGACCCACUGAGUGAGGCCAGGGAUCAAACUGGCAACCUCAUGGAUAUGAGUCAGGGUCAUCUCCAUUGCGCCACAACGGGAACUCCUACAAAUGCUUUUGAAACAUUGAGCACAGUCUUGUGGUUAAAGAGAAAGAAAAAAAAAAGCAUUAUGUCAUCUGUCAGACCACCAGCUCCCCUUUUCCUCAGGACCCCCCUGCCCCCAGGCACCAUGUGAGAAAUUGCCAAGUGUUCAUUUUAAGUGCUUUCUAAGAAUAUCGUUUUAGUCAUUUCAAUUUAGGACCCAUACUAAUGGGUAUUUUUGAAGAUUAAAUAUGAGCCAUUCUUGAAACUUAACGUUUUAGAAACCAUCCACCUCCGUAUUCAGGUAUUACCUAGGACAUAAGCAAGGAGGCAGUGCUCUAGGUUGCUUUCCUGAGCUUCUCAGCUUCAUUAAGUAGGUGUUGUCCAGCCGUCUCUUCAAAGCAGCCUUCCCUGACCUACGAAAAAUAGCACCCAUCCCACCCUCUGAAUCCUCUGGCCUGUGUAAUUUUUUAAGUACCCACAUGUUAUAAGUGUAUUUGUAAUUGUCUCCUCAACUAGACUGUAAGUUCCACGCAAGCAGGAAUAUUAUUAUUAUUAUUAUUAUCAUUAUCAUUAUCAUGAUUGUUCCUGGUCAAUCCACAACACCUAAAAUGCUGCUUGGUCUGUCGUGGGGUGAUGGGCACACAGUUAGUAUCGGUUGCGUGACUCUUUUAAGGACAGAGUAAAUACACACCUGGGCUUCUCAUGGGUGGGCCCAAGGCAUUAGGAAAAGGAUUAUACACAUGCUUCUGAUGAGAAGUGCUUUAAUCCGAUAGUACUUUGGUCAGGUAGAGAGUGGCAUCUAGAGACUAGUUUAUUGCCUAGUCCUUGGAAAUAGAUGUUAAAUGCUGGCGAUGUAUAUAACUCAGUGUUGGAAAGGAACCAUUUGU